rnacentral:rRNA from 1 species
UACGUAGGGGGCAAGCGUUGUCCGGAUUUAUUGGGCGUAAAGCGCGUGUAGGCGGCAAGGUGUGUCGUGCGUGAAAUCUCCCGGCUUAACUGGGAGGGGCCGUGCGAAACUGCCUCGCUUGAGGUCAGAAGGGGAAAGUGGAAUUCCGGGUGUAGUGGUGGAAUACGUAGAUAUCCGGAGGAACACCAGCGGCGAAGGCGGCUUUCUGGUCUGUAACUGACGCUGAGGCGCGAAAAGCGUGGGGGAGCAAACAGG